rnacentral:rRNA from 1 species
UACGUAGGGUGCGAGCGUUGUCCGGAAUUAUUGGGCGUAAAGAGCUCGUAGGCGGUUUGUCGCGUCUGCUGUGAAAACUGGAGGCUCAACCUCCAGCCUGCAGUGGGUACGGGCAAACUAGAGUGCGGUAUGGGAGAUUGGAAUUCCUGGUGUAGCGGUGGAAUGCGCAGAUAUCAGGAGGAACACCGAGUGGCGAAGGCAGAUCUCUGGGCCGUAACUGACGCUGAGGAGCGAAAGCAUGGGGAGCGAACAGG